UCAGGUCGAGUUCGUCGUUUCCUCCGCCGCUUUCGCCGGUGGAUCCAGUGGUGGAAUGUGAGCUGCUGCUGCUGCUUUCUUCAGUGAUGAUGUCAGGGCUGAGGCAGCGUUGCUUUUUGGAAGGUGGCGGAGCGGCGGCGGCGGAAAUGGUGGUGGCCGGGAAGUUGAGCUUGGCCUUGUCGCCGCGGAUGCGUAUGGCGGCGUCGUCGUAGGCUUGGGCGGCUUCUUCGGCGGUGGGGAAGGUGCCGAGCCAGACACGAACACCCUUGUGUGGGUCCCUUAUCUCCGCGGCCCACUUGCCCCAUGGCCUUUGCCUGAUUCCUCUGUACACGUUUUUACGAGCUCGCCCACUAUCACUCUUC
rnacentral:lncRNA from 1 species